AAGCUAGAAUCCUUCUUGGCGCCGGGAAAAAGGUGGAUGGUUCGUUACCUCGUGGCUGAGCAAAAGGAACGUAGGCUACCCCUCUAGAGAAGCUUACCAAACUAUGACAACUUCUGCCUCGGAAAGAGUCCACACGGUUUCAUUUACCUCAGCACUGUGAUGUCUACUGACAAGAUGGAUAAAAUAUUCAUAUUACUUCAGAAGUUCAGACUGGAUAAAUACUACAAAAAAUUCAUUGAUCUUGGGAUUAAAGAAGAACUGGAUUUUUUUGACAGCGUCAAUGAUGUGACCUUAAAAACCAUGGAUUUUUCACAAGCAGAGAGGAACCGGUAUGACAAUAUGGUUGCUUAUCUGCGAAGAAUUGGCAAUGCACCAGUUCCAGAGAUGCAAGGAAUGCAUGUAAUGAAGUCUCUUAAUUCAUUUCGUAUAUCCUACCGAUUUCCAAAAUGUGCUGGGAUACAAGAAAUCACAGGUAUAGAUCCCUCACAAAAUACAGUGGAGGACCUGAUGCUGCGAAUCUGCCAUGAAAACAAGGUUGACCGAAACUUGUCUGUAUGCCUUUACACUGCUGAUGGUAUGCCUUUGACCGAUGACCCCUUUUUCAACACAUGGUCUUUGAAUGACAGACAUAUUGCAAGUGGGAGUGAACUGUAUGCCAUAUUUACACCAAGGGAAAAUUUAACAGAGUUACCACCAACGCAAAGACAGGCCAACAUCAGAAUUGAAGGACCGAGUGUCAUCCGCUGUCACAUAGCGUUACAGGGAGACUUUGAAAUCAAAGUCAACCUUGAAAGUGAUACACUGAGAGAUGUGACACUACGGCUUUCUCUCGAAAGUAGUAUACCAGCACCAGUUCUUCACAUCAGAGGUGAUGAGUAUAAUCAUGUUGACAAACUAAGUGAGCUUGGAGUCACAGAGGAUUCAGUUCUACAGUUCUCUCUGUCAUCAUUUGAUAAUGAGAAACCAAGUCCAAGUCUUUUGUUCCAAAAAGAUGUCAGACCCUCAGUGAAGCAAACAGAGAAAGGCCUAAGUGUUUUUCUGUCAACGCUCUAUGCCAUUAAACGAAAACACUGUGGAGAUGAAUUUAAGAAAGUGGUUGCAUAUAUUAGGAGACUGAGUGGAUGCAAUGCUUUGGCUCAAAGUUUAUUCCAAAUGAUCUGUGGGAACUUGCAUGUAACUAGAAACCAAAAGAUUGCUGUUGUUGAGGGUCUUUACUUUCUUUUCCGAGAGUUGUUACCAGAUCGUAAUGAAACAUCAGGUCCAAAGGUCAUUGAAGAUGGUGAUGUUUUUGAAUAUGCAAAUAUUUGCUGGGCUUACCUGAUUGCUCAAGGACAGGAUGAAAGUACUGAUCUGGAGACCUUUGCUACAAUUUCCUUGAAAGCUUAUCCUACUGGCCAGCGGCUGUGUGAGCCAGUGAGAGUACCAGGGACACCAGAAGUAUUGAGGUCAUACGUACUGGAAAAAAAUCACAGAUGGUGUAAAAAUUCCAAACUGUGAUGAGGUGAAUCUGCUGGAGUCAUCGAUUCAAAGAGCUAAAGAUAUCGAGAAAAUUUCGCUUAGUCUUCCGGCAUCAUUUGAUAGGUUUCCAUUGUGGAUCUUUUAUAACAGCACCCCACAAUGUUGCAACUUUCAGAUUGAACAGAAGAAAACAUUUUCAGACAUGUUUGAGGAUGUCAAACGGUACAGUCACUUGAUUGUCACACCACCACUGCAACUGGCAAAUAUGGGAACUGAGGCUCCUCGGUUGGUGUAUCUCAGUGAAGAUAAUCUAGGUGUUUACUUGAGCAAAGACAAGGGAGACCCGUUUAAGAUUUGGGUUUAUGACUGUCUGUCUGGAACAGAAACCAUAAAAAAUGUGAAUGAUCUGGCUAAAAUACUCAAUGAUACCAGAACUGACAACACUGUUGAAGUCAGUAAAACCCCCAAAGAGGCAAUUGUGGUGCUCUUUGAUUCAAGUUCUUCAAUGAUGGAAGAAUGUUAUGACACUGCCAGUCAGAUGAUGCGAAUUGAUGCCGUCAAGCAAAUCUUUGACAGCUUUUCAAACCGAAGUAUGGCAUAUGAUUUUCAGCACGUCAUCUGCCUUGUGAUGUUUAACGACAAAGUUAAAACUCUUCUUAAAUUCACAGAAAAUUUGGAAAACCUUCAAGGAGCAAGUGCAUGCUAUUGAAGCAUCUGGGUACACUAGGUUAUAUGAUGCACUUGUUCGUGGGAUCUCAGAGCUUGAAAAUAUCAAGAAAAGUUUUCCAGCUUGCAGAUGUCGCAUCUUGUGUUUGACAGAUGGCAACGAUU